CGGGGUGAGUAAUGUAUGGGGAUCUGCCUGAUGGCGGGGGAUAACUACUGGAAACGGUAGCUAAUACCGCAUAACGUCGCAAGACCAAAGAGGGGGACCUUAGGGCCUCUUGCCAUCGGAUGUGCCCAGAUGGGAUUAGCUAGUAGGUGGGGUAAUGGCUCACCUAGGCGACGAUCCCUAGCUGGUCUGAGAGGAUGACCAGCCACACUGGAACUGAGACACGGUCCAG
rnacentral:rRNA from 1 species